CCUACGGGUGGCAGCAGUCGAGAAUCAUUCACAAUGGGGGAAACCCUGAUGGUGCGACGCCGCGUGGGGGAAUGAAGGUCUUCGGAUUGUAAACCCCUGUCAUGUGGGAGCAAAUUAAAAAGAUAGUACCACAAGAGGAAGAGACGGCUAACUCUGUGCCAGCAGCCGCGGUAAUACAGAGGUCUCAAGCGUUGUUCGGAAUCACUGGGCGUAAAGCGUGCGUAGGCUGUUUCGUAAGUCGUGUGUGAAAGGGGCGGGCUCAACCCGCGGACGGCACAUGAUACUGCGAGACUAGAGUAAUGGAGGGGGAAGCGGAAUGCGCGGUGUAGCAGUGAAAUGCGUAGAUAUCGAGAGGAACACUCGUGGCGAAGGCAGGUUCCUGGACAUUAACUGACGCUGAGGCACGAAGGCGAGGGGAGCGAAAGGGAUUAGAUACCCCAGUAGUC
rnacentral:rRNA from 1 species